UACGGCGACAUCAUGUUCAAACACCAGUUCCUAUACGAUCACCGAAGUUAAGCAAAAUCGUGUCUGAUCAGUGCCUAGAUGGGUGACCGCUUGGGAUU